UGGGGAAUAUUGGACAAUGGGCGAAAGCCUGAUCCAGCCAUGCCGCGUGUGUGAAGAAGGUCUUCGGAUUGUAAAGCACUUUAAGUAGGGAGGAAGGGCAGUAAGCGAAUACCUUGCUGUUUUGACGUUACCGACAGAAUAAGCACCGGCUAACUCUGUGCCAGCAGCCGCGGUAAUACAUAGGGUGCAAGCGUUAAUCGGAAUUACUGGGCGUAAAGCGCGCGUAGGUGGAUCGUUAAGUUGUAUGUGAAAUCCCCGGGCUCAACCUGGGAACUGCAUCAAAGACAGCCGAGCUGGGGUAAGGCAGAGGGAGAUGGAAUUUCGUGUGUAGCGGUGAAAUGCGUAGAUAUAGGAAGGAACGCCAGUGGCGAAGGCAAACACCUGGGCUCAUACUGACACUGAGGAACGAAAGCGUGGGGAGCAAACAGG
rnacentral:rRNA from 1 species